GGAGGAGUCGCAUAGCGGUCUAGUGCACCUGUCUUGAAAACAGGCGUGGGGCAACCCACCGUGAGUUCGAAUCUCACCUCCUCCGCCG
rnacentral:tRNA from 1 species